AAUUAAAAUUUGGGUAAACGGGUCCUAAUCCUUCUUCAACCCCGCUCUUUCUGCAACUUCCCAAAAUCAAAACCCUCGCGACAAUGUAAAAACCUUAAUUCUCCUCUGUCUAUGGCCUUUAAUCCUUGUUUUCUUCAAUUUCCUUCCCUUCCAAAACCCUAGCCGUUUUUUCCGACUCCCGCCACCCCUUUUCAAUGGACGCCCGUCGACCCUCCCGAGCCAUCACUGACCCUAUGAUCCGCCGCGUUGGCUUCUUUACCCCCACCGGGAACAGCCAACUGCCACGGACACACUCCAACCCUGCCGGCUCUGGUUCCUCCCCGCACGCCGACUCUCCCGCUGGAAACUCGCUCUCUCCAGUCAUGAUCCCCCCGCCGCGUCACCUCUCUGACCGUACGCCCCCCUUGCCGGUUCCUGAGACCGGAUUACGCCAGGAUAGCGACCGCGUGCCGGUCGGGAGCUACAACGCGUCCGAAUCCCUGAUGGGCUCGUCUCCGUCAGGUGGGAUCGCUUUGGUGGGAGGAGAAUUCUCUGAGGAGUCGGAUGGGUGGUACGGGCAGAACGAGGUGCGUAAGCACUCUCCGAAUCUUCUCGAUGCCACUCUGCGGAAGGCUCCGGAUUAUCUGUCCGGUACUUCUGCUCCCCUGAGGCUUGAAAAAUUGAAGAAGUCUGCCCAAGUGCCAGAAAAGAGUGGUAAGGCCGAUGUGGAAGCGCAAAAUGAAAUGCAAUCUAGUUUGAAGCCACUGAAAACGAAAACAUCCAAAGCUGAAAGGCGUGCCUUGCAGGAGGCCCAAAGAGCUGCAAAAGCUUUGGCUAAAGAGGGUGAUAAAUCUGCUGCUGUAUCUGGGGGAGCAGCUCCAAAAAAACCUUUGAAGCUGCCAUCACAGAAGAAAGAUGGUCCUCCAGUCUUAUCUUCAAUUGCAGCUUCUGACAAGAAAGGAGGUGAUCGUCUACCUGAUAAAGAGAGGAAGAAAGACGUUCCUCCUCCACGCAUGCAAUUUGAUGAUAAGAACCGUGUGGAGAAGGCAAAAAGACGUGCAGUGUUCCAUCAAACUGAAGCUAGAAAUAGAGUUGAAUUGUUUCGGCAUUUGCCUCAGUAUGAACAUGGAACUCAGCUUCCUGAUCUGGAGUCACGAUUUUUCCAACUUGAUCUGGUGCAUCCUGCUGUAUACAAGGCUGGAUUACAGUAUUUAGCCAAAGAUAUAACUGGGGGCAAUGCACGUUGCAUUGCAAUGCUUCAAUCUUUCAAGGAAGCCAUUAAAGACUACUCCACACCACCAGAAAAAACUCUUGUGAGAGAUUUAACUGCAAAAAUAAGCAGUUAUGUAUCAUUCUUUAUUGAAUGUAGGCCACUUUCUAUCAGCAUGGGAAAUGCAAUUAGGUUUGUUAAGAGCCGUAUAACAAAGCUACCAUUAACUCUUUCUGAAUUAGAAGCAAAAGCUGCACUUUGUUCAGAUAUCGAGCGUUUCAUAAAUGAAAAGAUAUUACUUGCUGAGAAGGUCAUAGUUGGACAUGCUGUUACAAAGAUUAGGGAUGGAGACGUGCUUCUUACUUAUGGAUCAUCAAGUGUGGUUGAGAUGAUUCUGUUACAUGCUCAUGAGAUGGGGAAACAGUUCCGAGUUGUAGUAGUAGACUCACGUCCGAAGCUGGAAGGCCAAGCAUUACUUCGGAGGCUGGUAUCAAAUGGCCUGAGCUGUACAUACUGUCAUAUUAAUGCUGUUUCUUAUAUUAUGAAUGAGGUUACACGAGUUUUUCUGGGGGCCGCCUCUGUAUUGUCCAAUGGAACUGUACAUUCGAGGGUUGGGACUGCAUCUGUUGCAAUGGUUGCUCAUGCUUUCCAUGUUCCAGUUUUAAUCUGCUGUGAAGCCUAUAAAUUUCAUGAAAGGGUACAGCUUGACUCAAUCUGCUCUAAUGAACUAGGCGAUCCAUAUGCCAUUACAGAAGUUCCUGGGAGAGUGGAUGUGAAUUAUCUGAAUAAUUGGGCCAAAAAGGAAAAUCUGCAGCUUCUAAAUUUGAUGUAUGAUUCUACCCCUUCAGAUUAUAUCUCCAUGAUUGUCACAGACUAUGGAAUGAUCCCAACCACUAGUGUACCUGUCAUUGUGCGCGAGUAUCGACGAGAACAUUUAUUCAUUUAGAAAAUAUUCAUCAGCUAUAACCAGUAUUAAUAUUAUCAGCUGCAGCAGCAGUUGCCAAUUCCAUCAACCUCUCAUAAUCUAUCUCAGUAGACUUGAACUUCAACUUGAUUCCACCCUGAGUCCAUGACCUUAUACAAAGGAGAGCUUGUGUGCUAUCAUGUGGCAAACAAAAUCGUUGCUUCUCUAUCUCAUCACCUUUGCUGCAGAACAAAUCCUCAGCUGCCGUGGAAGUUGCCUGCACGGUCAAGAAAUCUCGAGCCAUGACAGAAAGUCGCGGAUAGCGAGUGCUAUUAACUUUCCACCACUCCAAAACAUCUGUUGGUAUUGGAGCCGGAGGCUCUGAUAGAUACUGAGUGAGCUCAUCAGUGGCAGUGCUCAUGCUUGCCCUUCGUUUCUUUCGAGCAAUUUCCUCUGCAAAAGAGACAUUCCCUUCAUCUUCAAUCUCCUGAGCAAUGUACCCACUAGUCAUGGAUGGAACAUGGCUGCUAGAAUAAUUUCUCAUGAAAUGGGCUCUUGCUUCCUCAAGAUAAUUUUCUGAACUGAGACUUUCAGCCAUGUCUUCAGCAGCACUCUUUAGCCAGUCUGGGCUGUGCCGGGAUUCUCUGCAGACAGCGAUCGUGUCAGAGAUGUGAUCCAUGAAGAAGAGAACCAGACCGAUUGUGGGCACCUUGCUUGUGCAUAUGUUGGUUGUGGUUUUGUAGAAGGGUUGUAAAUAUUGAUGCAUGAUACUGACCACAUUCUUCUCUGUGGAGGUCAGCAGCAUCCUAUUGCCUAGUAUCUCAUAUUUCCUGAUUAUGGCGUCCAUAGACUUGCUUGCCUGUUUCAUAUGUAAAAUCCUAGUUCAUCAAUAGCCACUACAUCCAUGCAGGCAUGGAUGGCGCAGACACAAAACAACAUACAAACAUAUACAUACACAGUCAGGCUAUAUAUAUUUGGCAGUUAUCAUAACCUGAUCAAAACCAAAUAUCAUGGGCAACACCCUAAUCUUUGAUGAAGCAAACUUCAACAGCUUUCUGAUAAGUAAGCUGUUGAAGUUUAAGGGUCCAAGAAUAAUUCUUUAUUUCAAUGAUCAGUCGCAGAGAUGGAGAACUGUCUUGAUAGCCUGAUCAUAUCAGGCAAUUAUUUCACCUAAUUGAAUUGGGAGGAGUAGAGUGUGGCUGUUCGGUAUUAAACAAACCAAUCAAAGAACAAAGGGGGUUUCAAGUUUCAACCUUGUCGUACAUCCACCUUUCAAGCUGAGUGUCAUAUCAUAUUUUCAGAUUUUCUUUAUCCAAUGAACUUUGAGGCAGUCGUUAAAAAUACUUUAUAAUGCCGGCAAGUAGUUGCUAACAGAGAAAUUAUAUUUGCAAGUCGGUGCGGAGGGCGUGGCAUGGCAGAGUUUGAUCUGCAAGAGAAUUUAAUUUUAAACUAUCUUCCUAAUUAAAUCUUGUCAUGUCAGCAGUAGGUUUGCAAGUAGGAGUUGCUGAUGAAAGCACUUAAUGGGCCUGAUAUUAGACUAUGGGGGGAAUAAACACCAUAUUCUGCGACAAAAAUCCCAUUUCUUGGUUGGAAAAUUCUUCUAAACAAAGAGGCUUUUCAUUUUGCAGAAUUUUUAUAUCCUUAAGCAGGAGGUUUUUAGAUGAUAUGAGCAAGUACCUUGCGCACAAUAUCUAGCAUCUGAUAAUUGCCACUCCACCGUGCUGAAGCAUCCAGUGGAAAUUUCCAACUACCUUCUUGAAAUGCUGCAGUUGCUUGAGUAAAAUCUCCUGACAUUUCUAAGGAUGCAUUUAACUCCAGUACAAACUCCCGGAUCUUCAAGAUUACUGGUUUUGUGGUUCUCAAUCCGUCAUCUAUGAUCAAAUUCAAAGUACGUGCUGCACAGGGGAUGUAACAAAAGGGACCAACUUUCUGACCAUCCAAUUCCUCUUUCAAAGUAUGGCAAGCACGCAUGGAACUUUGACUGUUAUCAUGCGUGCAGGAGAGGACUCUACUGUCAAUAUUGUACAUCUUAAGAACCUUCACCAGGGAAUCGUAAAUCUCGGCACCCCCACAAGGAUGAGGUAUAUGACAGAUAUCAAGAAGCACCUUUCGGAAGGACCAGUUCUCGUCAAUCCACUGGCAUGUGACACUCAUAUAAUAUAUCUGUUGAUAGGAAGUCCAGAAGUCAAGUGUGAUGGAGAACUUCGACAAAACCUGCUCCAAAGAUGCUCUAACAUCCUCCUGCAUGCUUCUGAAAACUUCAUGAAAUACUGCUUUAUACUUCUCACCUGGCCAUACUUGUAUUGAUG